rnacentral:rRNA from 1 species
AGUGAACGCUGGCGGUAGGCCUAACACAUGCAAGUCGAACGGCAGCACAGGAGAGCUUGCUCUCUGGGUGGCGAGUGGCGGACGGGUGAGGAAUACAUCGGAAUCUACUCUGUCGUGGGGGAUAACGUAGGGAAACUUACGCUAAUACCGCAUACGACCUACGGGUGAAAGCAGGGGACCUUCGGGCCUUGCGCGAUUGAAUGAGCCGAUGUCGGAUUAGCUAGUUGGCGGGGUAAAGGCCCACCAAGGCGACGAUCCGUAGCGGGUCUGGUGGGGUGAUCAGCAACAUUGGAACGGAGACACGGUCCAGACUCCAGCGGGAGGCAGAAGUGGGGAAUGUUGGAAAAGGGGCGCAAGCCGGAUCCAGCCAUACCGCGUGGGUGAAGAAGGCCUUCGGGUUGUAAAGCCCUUUUGUUGGGAAAGAAAUCCAGCUGGCUAAUACCCGGUUGGGAUGACGGUACCCAAAGAAUAAGCACCGGCUAACUUCGUGCCAGCCGCCGCUGUAA